rnacentral:rRNA from 1 species
UGGGUGAUGCUUACUUGUUCAUUUUUGUUGUUUUUAAUUUAAUUGAAUUAACUUUAUAUUUCACUGUUUUUGUAUGGUUUACAGAUAAAAUUUUUUCGGUUGUAGUUUAAUUGUACUGUAAGGGGUUGCUGAAAUAUAUUAUAUUUUAUUUUUUGAUAAGUAGGUUUGGUUUUCUGUACCUUGUGUAUCAGGGUUUAUUAAAAUUUUUUCUUUUAUUAGGUUUUCCCGAUUCGGGGGGAGUUACUGAUAAAUAAUUUUUGGUGUUUUAUAAUCAUGCUUUAUUUUUCGGUAGUAGUGAGAUGCUAUUCGCUCCUUGAUGUAUCUGGUUCCCUAAGAAACAUAUUUAAUUUGCUUGUUUUUGUUUGGCUUUAUUUAUUUUUUUAGGUCUUGCCGCUUUCACAAGAAUGCUUUAGGGGAAAAUCUCUUGAGUUUAUUUUUAUAAGUUUUUAUUUUUUAGGUGGUUUGUAGGGUUAGAAUUAUCCAUCAUUUUGAUAAUGUUGUAAUUUUUCUCUGAUUUAUUUAUUGUUGAUUUAAUUUUCUUUAUUUUUCUAUUAGGAUUUUUUAUUAAAUUAUUUAUUUUGAGUAAUUAUGGUAAAAUUAGUAUAUUUAUUUUGUUUGCUUUUAAAUUUGUGUUUAGGUUCACUUAAGGAACUAGGCAAAUAUUGUUCUUUCGCCUGUUUAUCAAAAACAUGUCCUUUUGAGAAUGAUUUAAGGUCUGGCCUGCUCAAUGAUUUUAUUAAAUAGCCGCGGUAUACUGACCGUGCAAAGGUAGCGUAAUCAUUAGUUUUUUAAUUGAAAGCUUGUAUGAACGGUUUGACGAGAAGGAAGCUGUCUGUGGUGGAAUAUUAGAAUUUAACUUUUGAGUGAAAAGGCUUAAAUUUCUUUUAGGGACGAGAAGACCCUAUAGAUCUUUACAUAAAUUGAAUCAUAGUGUUUGUGUGAUUUUUUUCGCUAUUAUUCAGUUUUAUGUUUCGUUGGGGCGACGGGAAGAUUCUCUCAACUCUUCUCUUUUAUUUUACAGUUAUUUCUGACUGAUUGAUCCACUUUUAGUGAUUAUGAGAUAAAGUUACCUUAGGGAUAACAGCGUGAUCCUCUUGGAGAGUUCAAAUCGAUAAGGGGGGUUGCGACCUCGAUGUUGGAUUAAAAAUUACUCUGGGUGUAGCUGCUUGGAGAUUGGGUCUGUUCGACCCUUGAUUUUUUACAUGAUCUGAGUUCAGACCGGCGUGAGCCAGGUCGGUUUCUAUCCUGAAUUAAUUAGAGGGUUCCAGUACGAAAGGACCGAGUCCUUAAUAUAUUUAUUUUUCUGUUGAAUUGUAUUAACU